ACAGUACAAGACAUGCUGUAUCUGACCAGCAGUAGGGAGGUUUGGGUGGGAACCCGGGCCCACAUUCUACCCCAGGUUCCAGCCCAGGGCCCUGUUGACUGCAGCUGUCUAGAGUGCCUUCUGGAACAGCUGCGCAACAGCUACAAUUCCCUGGACUACUUCCCCUUGGUUUCCGCCCAACACCUUCUUU